GAAUGCAGAGCACGGAUUAACCCCUCCUGGAGCUGUUCUACUGCCCCCAUAUCAACGAUGCCAGAAAGGUCUAAGGAGACAAGAAGAGAGGAGACCAGCACCACGGCCAUGAACAGAGCCAUCUCAUCAGGCUCCAGCCUCAGAGUUCCCAGCUUCUCACUGAAGUCAAAGAUGGCGUCGAGCAGCGCCCCCAUCCCCAGCGCCCGCAGGGUGGACAGAGGGUACGUCUGGCCAUUCAGGAAGGUCACCGUCCGCUCCUCAGGGUUAAACAUUGUACAGAACCUCACCAUCAACACCUGACCGAGACAGAAGACCCAGUGGAAGGUUAGUCAAUAUGGAUCGGGAUUACAUUUAUUGGGAGAGAGAAUUAAGGUGUUUUGUCCUUUUAUAUUUGUAAACACAGCUGAAAUAAUCUGAUUUAGGGCCAGUUUCCUGGGUACAGAUGAACCCCAGUCCUGGACAAAAAUAGACUACUUAAAAAACAAGCGUUAUUACCUGGAAGGUGCCUGAUUUGAGCAGCAUGACCUGGUCGUGCUGGCUGAGCUCCUGGAAGCCAGGGAUACCCUUAGCGAACUCCACCACUUCCCUCACUGCCGGGGUGAAACACUGGGAGAAAGACUCCCAUAUCUGCUGUCCAGAACGACUGGCCGCAGAUACAGGACACGCAUUGAGAGGACAGGCCUGAGGGAUAGAGAGAGAAAGUUCGAUUCAAAUCCAUACUAUACUGUUUUUAUAAACGUCACAUAUGUAAAGCUUCAUAACUUUUUAACGACUCUUGGUUUACUCACCAGCACUUUGGUUCCAGCAGCUAAUUUCCACGGACAGGAUGUCUGAGUUUGGGGCUCUUGGGUCUCUUCCUUCAUGGAAAAACUGUUGUGAUUGGCCGAGCUGCCUCGUUGAGGUGUGCCCACAUUAGACUGUCCGUGGUCAUGAUUGGACAAAGUAGCGGGGCAACUAUAGCCUCUUUUGUCCACAGAGGGGAACGUAUGGUGGUUGUCAUUAGUGUCUGGGCAGUGAGGGGCAAGGCCUGCAGGACAGGACUGGUACCCCUGGGUGGAGUCAGACCCGAGGUGGGAGGAGCCAUUGGUGUAGCUGGUCUCCUGAGAUGUGUUGCUCUUGAACAGAGAUGUUGUUGGUAAGUUGGUGAUGUUGAGUUCCCUCUUGGCUGCCCUGUCUUGGCUGCUGGAAGAGAUGUCCUGAUAGGCCCGUGAGAUGGCUCUGAUGGCCUCUUUGGAAGGAACCUCUGCUGGGCUGGGAGGGGAUUCGGAGAUGGGGGAGGACUCUAUGUCCAUGGUGUUAGACUCGUUCAGGCUGUUCAUGUAGCUUUGCAUCUCAUCCAGAAGCCUCUGCUUCUCCCUCUUAGGGAUACGGCCAAAACGCACAGCUGAUGAAGACACAAACAGAGGGGACAGGUCAACUUCUGGCCAUAGUUCUCUUAUAGAUAUUAAGUCUUAAGGUCCGGUCUACACAGAAACAAACAUAUACUGUUCAUACAUUCGCCUUCGUAACAAAAAUGCAUUAAUUGCAUCUUGUGUAUUUCAUGCAUGAACGUGUAAGCAGUCUUUUCUGGGUCCCAUCCCUCCUACUCUCCAUCCCCCUCUCCAACAAUAUCCAUCAGCUGAAAAUGUUAUUUAUAGACCCCCUAUCCAUCUCUCUCUCUCCUCUCCUUCCCUCCCUCUCUACUUUGUAAGUAGGGCAGUGGCUCAUCGUGAACGUGAUGUCACUGCUACUGCGACGGAGGGAGAGAAAUAGAGGUGGGCUAGCACGCAAGGGGGAGGAAAGAGGAUGUAGAGAAGGAAGGAGGGAGGGAGGGAGUGAGGGAGGAGAGGUUGCAGAGAAGGAGGGUGUUAGUGAGAGUGAAGAGUAGUGUUGAAAAUAGGAGCUUGCAGAGAGAAAGUAGUGAGUGAAACACCAAAGUGGAGUGUGACAGAGAGACUGAAGAGAAACUUCAAAUGGCAGUCUUGUUGCUGAGAGUUCUUCAACCAAGCCAGCACAAUGCAUGAGGCAAGAUGUAAAUGAUCUAUAAUUCAUAGAAACAAACUAACUUAAAGUGUUUGAGAUCAAAACAAGAUACUGGACUAAGCUAUGACAUCGGGGAGAAAUAUUUGUGUUCUGCUUCAGUUAAAUGUAUGACUGUGAACAUCUGUGUUAACACAUCUCUGGCAUCAUAACAUGAUCUCUUGGGUCUCUCUCUCUGCAGUGUGCAAUGCACUGUCCCUAAAGAGCAUAGGAUCUAGAUCAUGCUAAAAAGGGCUGUAACAGUGACAUUCUGUUACAGCAGAGCUAUGGAAUUCUGCGAUAUUCAUUCCCAUCAAUCCACUUUGUUAUGUGUGCAUGGAUAGUCUGUCUAAACUUUAGCUAGUCAUUACAGUUGUGAGAAUGGGCUUUAAUGCACUGCGUUUAGGAUGAAAGUGUUGGCUGUGUCUUUAAGAAGAUGAACUGGUUUCAGGGAGGGCAAGUGACUUCAAUAUGUCCCUUGUCUAUAUGGUAAUCCCAAGAUACACCAAUCACAGGCUCCUGAGAAAUCAGGAAGUCUUCUGCCAUGUGGACUGCAGGCAGUUGACUGAGGUUUUUCUGUUUUCACAACAGCUGAAGUCGAAGGAAAGAGGUUUCUAGGUUGUGGUUCUUGACACUUUCGAGAUCGUGUUUUUAACAGGGUCAAUAUGAGUGUUUUUCCUUGCAUCAAAACAUCUUCACUAGCCUCGUUUCUCGUACCCCACCUUUUGAGCGCCCAAACUGUCGACUGCAUGCAGAAAUCACACUUGGUUCUCUUGUAGAUUAGGCAAUAGAUUAAGCACGAGAGAGAACACAGGAGGGUUGAAGCCACACUGAGAAGACACUGAAGGCAGGCAAACUAUCCCAACUAGGUCACCAUGUACCAGCGUGCUAUAGGUAAAAUGCUUGCUUUGCUUUUUUAGGUCAACUGAAACCAUCCCACACUAUUUUCGUAAUCCGUUAUGAUGGGGCAAUUUAUCAAUACUUAGCUAUCAAGGCUAAAAGUAAAGUAGGUGAGAUUAGCUUUGCAUACGGCUGAUUAAUUGUGUGACAAGGACGGGCUGUUUUGUUCUGCAUCUCGAGCAUAAUUGUUUGCCAUCUCCCUCAUUAAUUGUACAAAAUGUUAUAAGGGUAAACAGUAUACAAAGUAAUCAAGUUGCCCCUGUUCCAAUUCCCCAAAAUAAUUCCUGUGUUUGCUGCAGUUUUCUGUAUGACAGAUAGCUUCAGGGACUUCAAGGCUCCCGUUCUCAUAAAUCACUGUCGGAGAGGAGAGAAGAGUGGGAUAGAGGGAGAGCUCAGGGAACAUGGAGGGGAGGAACAUGGAGAGGGGAGGAAUCUGAACAAGAGGAAGAAAGACUGACUUUGAAACUUAUGAAUGUGCAAGAGCCUGUGUGGAUAUAGGUUUUUUUCCAAUGUGUGCCCUUCAAUAGUAGGUCAGUGCAAUGUCUCAGGUGAAAGAUAAGGCUGGUGCGGUGCUGAGAAACUCGCAUUGUAUGGCCUCAAAUGAUUGUCUGAGCCUGCACUCUCAGUAAGAUUUCACUAGAACUCUUACCAUCUCUGGACAUGCCCACGGAGAGGCAUUUCUUGAAGCGACAGUGUUGGCAGCGGUUGCGGUUCAUUCUCAUAAUGAGGCAGUUCUCGUUCUUCACACACAUCUUGUAGUUGAUGUUUUGCUGAAUGCUGCGACGGAAGAAGCCCUAGAUAGGAAAUUCAAGCAGAUGUACAGUUAGUUAGCAUCCUGGUUGGUUUUAAAUGCUGAACGGGAAUGUGACCCACCACCUUAUUGUACACAGUAAGAGUGCAUCUGAAAUGGUCAAAAGAAGUGUGCUAUAUAGGGAAUAGAGAGCCAUUUCAGGGGCACUUACUGUAUGUGUUUAGUCAUCGUGGUCUUCUUACCUUGCAACCCUCACAGGCGUGCACUCCGUAGUGGAACCCAGAUGCAAUGUCUCCACACACUGUACACAGGAGCACCAUACCACCAGUCUCUGUAGAUAUAUAUAUAAAUAAAAGAGAGAGAGAGAGAGACAGAGAGACAGAGAGACAGAGAGACAGAGAGACAGAGAGACAGAGAGACAGAGAGAAAUGUGAUCAUAAGUGAAGGUGACUACCGACCGACGUUACAAUCAACAAAAGACGUCGUGUAGUGUACAUUACAGAAAAAGAUUGUGGGAGGAGAUGAGUAUUGGAUAGGGGUGAAUGUUUUGGUUUAGGCUAGAAAGAGUAAGGAGGGAUGACAAAAGAAGUCCGGAAGGAAUGCUACUCACUGGUGAAAGGUCCUGUGAAUCCACUAGGCCUUUUCCCAGCGAUGGGGUGUUGGUAUGUGUGCUGGUGGGUGGACGUUGAUGUAGCCACAUUGUAGACUUCUGGGAAGUGGAACACCAGCUUGGAGGAUGGAGGUGUGCAUCCUCCCCCUCUCUGGCCCUUCAGGGACCCCAGGGGCCUGAGUUCUGUGAAGGUGAUCUCCUCUGGGGAGGAGGGCUGGGAGAGGGUGGAGGAGGGGGACUGGGUCUGGUACCCACUGGACGGGCUGCCAGGGCUAGGGCUGCCGCUGCCUGAGGAGCGCGCAUACAGAAUAACACCUCCUGUUGGAAAAACAGAGACAGAGAGGUCGUGGGGUUAGUCAGAUAGCUGAAAAGAAGUUUACUCCAAAAAGGUCACCAAGUUCAGGAUGUGGUGCAGAAUGCAAUGUUUAAAGGCAUGCAAAAGCAUACAGUGGUUCUUCCUUUAAAAGUUGUGGUUAUGCCGCUACCGUUUGUGGUAAUGGUGGCAAAAGACAGCUCUCUGUAGGACUAAUAGGUACAAUUUCAUAAAUGCCAUCAGAUGAUUUGUUUGUCAUGGGGAUAUUUUUGUGUCUUUAAAAAAAAUGAUGCGAGAAAUAGCGGUGGAAAUUAUUUUAUGCGCAAAUAUAGAUAUAAUAAGCAUCAUAUGGAAGUAAACUCGGAGUCACGCGAUGACAUGGUGUGUGGUCCUUCCACUAUGACUCGUUGGGAAAGCAUGCAGUUAUUAGGCUACCAGAGGUUGAGGCUAAAGAUGAAAUAAGUUGUGAUGUACUUCACAGGGUGGUGAAAGUGCAAGCAGAUGAGCUUGAUGCUGUCACGCCCUGACCAUAGUUUGCUUUGUAUGUUUAGUUUGGUUAGGGUGUGAUCUGAGUGGGCAUUCUAUGUUGUAUGUCUAGUUUGUCUUUCUGUGUUUGGCCUGAUAUGGUUCUCAAUCAGAGGCAGGUGUUAGUCGUUGUCUCUGAUUGGGAACCAUAUUUAGGUAGCAUGUUUUGUCAUUGUGGGUUGUGGGUGAUUUUCUAUGUUGAUGUUGCAUGUCUGCACUCGUUUUCAUUAGUGUCAUGUUCGUUUGUUAUUUUGUAUAGUUUGUGUAGUUGGUUUAAGUGUUCUUUGUUUAUUAAAAGGAAGAUGUAUUCACAUCACUUUGGUCUCCUCACUUAGACGAUCGUGACAGAUGCGCCUUUCCAAUAAAUAACAAGGGUCUUAUUCUGGUGACUUGAUCAUCAAUGCUUGGCUACCGUUUUAUUUUUAUAUGUCAAUGUUGCUCUUUUGUCCAUAAUAAUCUCAUCAUGUAGGCCAAGGUUCCCCAAAUGGCAAGUUCUGAGCAAAUUUUGUUUUGCUUAUAUUAUUUAUUUUUGAAUUCUGUAAAAAAAGACUGUAAAAACACCAGGAAAUCCGCUCCAUGUGAUUUUUGUUUUGGAAAUCUUUUCCCAUGUUUUCCCAUGCAUAAUAGAGAAACGUAGAAACUAUUCACAACCCUUUUUCCCCCAAAAAAUUGUGUUACAGCCUGAUUUUAAAAUUGAUUAAAUUUUGAUUUUUUUUGUCACUGGCCUACAGACAAUACCCCAUAAUGUCAACGUGGGAAAAUGUUUUUUGAGAAAAAAAGUAAUUAAUAAUGAAUUCAAAGCUGAAAUGUCUUGAGUCAAUAAGUAUUCUACCCCUUUGUUAUGACAAGCCUAAAUAAGUUCAGGAGUAAAAAUGUGCUUAACAAGUCACAUAACAAGUUGCAUGGACUCACUGAGUGCAAUAAUAGGGUUUAACAUGUUUUUUGAAUGACUGCCUCAUCUCUGUACUCCUCAGUCGAGCAGUGAAUUUCAAUCACAGAUUCAAACACAAAGACCAGGGUGGUUUUCCAAUGCCUCACAAAGAAGGGCAGCUAUUGGUAGAUGGUUAAAAAUAUAUUUUUUAAAGCAGACAUUGAAUUUUCCUUUGAGCAUGGUGAAGUUAUUAAUUACACUUUGGAUGGUGUAUCAAUACACCCACUCACUACAAAGAUGGUGUCAUAACUCGGUUGCCGGAGAGGACGGAAACUGCACAGGGAUUUCACCAUGAGGCCAAUGAUGACUUUAAAACAGUUAGAGUUUAAUGGCUGCAAUUGGAGAAAACUGAGGAUGGACCAAAAACAGCGUAGUUACUCCACAAUACUGACCUAAAUGACAGAGUGAAAAGAAGGAAGCCUAUACAGAAUGCAAAUAUUCCAAAACAUGAAUCAUGUUUGCAUCAAGGCACUAAAAUGACAAAGCCGUUUGUAAGUUUCUAUUUCUAAGAGGCCGAAUUACAGUUUAGACUUAAAUCUGCUUGAAAAUUUAUGGCAAGACCUGAAAAUGGUCAACAACCAAUUUGACAGAGCUUUAAGAAUUUUGAAAAGAAUAAAUGGGCAAAUACUGCACAAUCCAGGUGUAGAAAGCUCUUAGAGAUUUACCCAGAAAGACUAAUCUCUGCUAAAUGUGCUUUUACAAAGCAUUGCCUCAGGGGUGUAAAUACUUAUAUAUUUUUGCUAAAAUUUCUAAAAACACAUGGUUCUACUUUAACAUUAUGGGGUAUUGUGUGUAGAUGAAUAAGAAAAAAGUCAAUUUCAUAAUUUUUUUAUUCAGGCUGUAACAACAAAAUGUGGAAUAAGUCAAGGGGUGUGAAUACUUUCUGAAGGCACUGUAUGUAUGUGAUCGUAUACAAAUGUAAGCAAGGGAUGAAAUUAUUGUUUUAGUCAAACAUUAAAUCUAUUUUGGCUUCUUUCUGUCAAUUUGCAAUCUAAAAUGUAUUUUGUAUUAUGUUCCGGCCCCACGACUAUCCGCUCAAGAAAUAAAUUGGCUGAAUCUAGUUGAUGUAUACGUGUGCUAUAUAACAAUAUUUAAAAAAUGUGAGAAAACCAUCAGUAAAAUUGCGAUUAAAAACCCAUUUAACUUGCAUUUGUUUUAGUCGGUACAUGGGAAUAUAAAUUAGAUGGAAACACAUUUCUGGUAGGAAAGUGUGCAUAUUGUUUAUGUGGAUUUUAGAAUAGUCACAUGAAUAUCUGUCGCCAAUUGAAUGGAAACCUAGCUAGACAUUUUUUUGCGCCAUGCAAAAAACUUCAGUAUUUAUAUAGGCAGUCAAUAUAAAUGACAGUAAAUAAAUCAACGUUGCUCUUUUUUUCUGUUUUUCAUUUUUUUUAAAUCCUCUCUGUUCGUCUGCCUUCGCAUCCUCUCUAAAAAUAUUUUGCAUCUCUGAGACACGGCCGCGCGGGCUAUGCGGUGCUUCCGCUCCCUCCUUGCCCAGCGCCCGCAAGCAGCACGACACCUGACCGCCGACUCACAUGGACUUCUGACAUGGUUACUGCCUGGACCAAAUCUGCAGUAUCGUGUAGACAUUUACAACAAUCACAAACCGGUUCUGUGAUUAAAAUAAAUAUACUGGGGGAGUCCCAGAGAUGCUGUGGCAGAGAACUGUACUCGUGCCGUCACCGACAAUAAGCUAUGAAGAAAGUGAGUCCAGGUUUCCCAUAGAGAGAGAACCACUCGAACGGGCUACCUAACUUUUUUUUUUUAAUAUUUCUUGGUGAGUUUGUGAGACAGGGCAGUGAUACAAAGAUAGCAGCCACCUACACAAGGUGUCAUGGUAAUAGUUAGCCUAUUGUAUGUAUACAUCGAAUAUAAACUACACUGAACAAAAAUAUAAAUUAACAUGUAAAGUUCUGGUCCCAUGUUUCAUGAGCUGAAAUAAAAGAUUCCAGAAAUG